rnacentral:rRNA from 1 species
AAAAAACUUCUAAGGUGUGGCUAAAGCGGCCCGUACCGCAAACCGACACAGGUAGUCGAGGCGAAUAGCCUAAGGUGCUCGGGUGAGCCGUGGAGAAGGAACUAGGUAAAUUGAUGCUGUAACUUCGGGAUAAAGCAUGCCACCUUCUGGGUGGCCCCAGUAAAAUGGUUCAACCAACUGUUUAACAAAAACACAGGGCCCUGCAAAAUCGUAAGAUGACGUAUAGAGCCUGAUACCUGCCCGGUGCUGGAAGGUUAAGGAAGGGUGUUCGGCGCAAGCCAAAGCUCCUGACUGAAGCCCCAGUAAACGGCGGCCGUAACAAUAACGGUCCUAAGGUAGCGAAAUUCCUUGUCGGGUAAGUUCCGACCUGCACGAAUGGUCUAAUGAGUUGAACGCUGUCUCCUCCACGAGCCCGGCGAAAUUGUAGUAUCGGUGAAGAUGCCGGUUACCCGUCACGGGACGGAAAGACCCCGUGAACCUUCACUACAACUUUGCAUUGAUUUUGAGCAAACAAUGUGUAUAAUAGUUGGGACUCUUUGAAGCGGUGCCGCCAGGUGCCGUGGAGAGGUCGUUGAGAUACCAACCUUUGUUUGCUUAGAGUCUAAUCCCUGACGGGAAACAGUGCAUGGUGGGUAGUUUGACUGGGGUGGUCGCCUCCUAAAAAGUAACGGAGGCUUGCAAAGGUUCCCUCAGUACGGUUGGUAAUCGUACGAAGAGCGUAUUAGUAUAAGGGAGCUUGACUGUGAGACAGACAAGUCGAGCAGGGUCGAAAGACGGCUAAAGUGAUCCGGUGGUUCUGCAUGGAAGGGCCAUCGCUCAAAGGAUAAAAGGUACUCCCGGGAUAACAGGCUGAUCUCACCCAAGAGCUCAUAUCGACGGUGAGGUUUGGCACCUCGAUGUCGGUUCGUCACAUCCUGGGGCUGGAGAAGGUCCCAAGGGUUCGGCUGUUCGCCGAUUAAAGUGGCACGUGAACUGGGUUCAGAACGUCGCAAGACAGUUCGGUCCCUAUCUGUGAUGGGCGUUAGAAUAUUGCGUGGACAUGACCUUAGUACGAGAGGACCGGGUCGUACAGACCGCUGGUGUAUCUGUUGUGCCGCCAGGUGCAAUGCAGAGUAGCUACGUCUGGCCAGGAUAAACGCUGAAAGCAUCUAAGCGUGAAACCUUCCACAAGAUGAGUGUUCUUUUAAGGGUCGUCGCAGACUACGACGUUGAUAGGCUACAGAUGUAAAACUGGUAACAGUAAAGUCGAGUAGUACUAAUUGCCCGUACGCUUUAAUUA